GACGAACGCUGGCGGCAUGCCUAACACAUGCAAGUCGAACGGGAUCCAUGGAGUGCUUGCACUCCGGAAAGAUCUAGUGGCGAACGGGUGAGUAACACGUGAGAAACCUGCCCCAGACUCUGGGAUAACCUCGGGAAACCGAAGCUAAUACCGGAUAUUCUCCUUUGGUCGCAUGGCCAGUUGAGGAAAGUUUUUCGGUCUGGGAGGGUCUCGCGGCCUAUCAGCUAGUUGGUGGGGUAACGGCCCACCAAGGCUACGACGGGUAGCUGGUUUGAGAGAACGAUCAGCCACACUGGAACUGAGACACGGUCCAGACUCCUACGGGAGGCAGCAGUGGGGAAUCUUGCGCAAUGGGCGAAAGCCUGACGCAGCAACGCCGCGUGCGGGAUGAAGGCCUUCGGGUUGUAAACCGCUUUCAGCAGGGACGAAAAUGAACGGUACCUGCAGAAGAAGCCCCGGCUAACUACGUG
rnacentral:rRNA from 1 species